rnacentral:rRNA from 1 species
GUGCCAGCCGCCGCGGUAAUACGGAGGGUGCAAACGUUGCUCGGAAUCACUGGGCGUAAAGCGCACGUAGGCGGCCUUGUAAGUUGGAUGUGAAAGCCCUGGGCUCAACCCAGGAAGUGCAUCCAAAACUGCAUGGCUUGAGUACCGGAGGGGUUCAGAGAAUUCCUGGUGUAGAGGUGAAAUUCGUAGAUAUCAGGAGGAAUACCAGUGGCGAAGGCGCUGAACUGGACGGUAACUGACGCUGAGGUGCGAAAGCGUGGGUAGCAAACAGGAUUAGAAACCCUUGUAGUCC